UAUCACACUUCUUGAUAACCCUCUCCUGUAUUUCACUGACAGCUGGGCCACCUGGAUAUGUACCAGGAGAAAGUUUCAUGGUUGCAGAAUUCUAAUAAUAAUUUCAAUUAACUAAAAAUGUUUGUCACAAACAGAUGUUUUAGGUGGCUCAAAGAAUCACUGGAAAAGGUAUUGCCAAAUCAGGUUUAAUAUAAAAGUGAAAGUGCAACAAAGCUCAUUGGCAUGCUUCACUCUACUACUCACAGUUCAAGCACAGAGAUCAAAAUCUAGAAUCAAUCAAUCUAAAAUUAAAAUCAAAUGAAAGUGAUAUAUGUGGAGGCUGAGGACAGGAACAAGAAGAAGAAUGGGAAAGGGUGAGGAUGCAAAGGGAUAAGGGAGACCCUGUCACUGAGUUACAGGGUUCAGAGUGGACCUCCCUGCAAAACGUAGCCUCAGACUUGACCAAAGCUUUAGGCCUAAAGAUUUUAACAGCACUUAAACAUAGUGGCACUGAAUUAAUAGCCUAAUUUAAAGAAUUUUACAAAGGACUGUAGAAUUUACUAGAAGCAUGACAGUCACUCACAGGCCUGACUUAUGAAUCUAGUGCAUUUAGGCAUCAGAGAGCAACAUUCCUAGUCCAUUUUCUGUAGCACAUUCACAGUCACACACUCAGAGCCUGCUCAGGUGUGCUCAGGUGUGCUCAGGUGUGCACAAUCCCUGUACAUUUCCCCUGUGGGAAAUGGCCCCCAGCUCAGGGAAGGACUCACUUAGGACCUACAGUGUUUGUAGGGUCUCAACAUCAGGGCCAAUGUUUGUAGGGUCACAGCGUUACUCAUAGUAACGUUCCGUCCGGAUUGCAAUUCUGCUUGGCAACUUUCUCUGAAUGUUCAACAAUGAAAAUGUUUGUCCACUUGGACUUGCUCAUUAACCUGCUCCAGGUCCUGGGAGCAGACAGUGUCUCUGGUAGCUCAGGAGGAGCUCAGCCCUCGUGGUGCUGCUCGUCAAGGCCACGACCUAAUGAGCAUUUCUGAGAUCACAGCAUGGCCCCAGAGAGGAGACAGCAUGAUCUGCAUUCAGAGAACAGAGGGUAAAAUAACCCAGGAGCACCCCAGAGCCGGCUGAAAAGAAGUGAAGGUCUGACCUUGAAUACACUGUGGCUCUAACACUACUGAAAACAUCAGCUUUCUACUGCCAAAUGGAAAUUGCUGUCCACUGUCAGAUAAGAGAUAAUGAGUAAUAGACAAGAAGCAAAAACA